rnacentral:rRNA from 1 species
AAGUGGUCUCAGUUCGGACUGUAGGCUGCAACUCGCCUACACGAAGUUGGAAUUGCUAGUAAUCGUGGAUCAGCAUGCCACGGUGAAUACGUUCCCGGGUCUUGUACACACCGCCCGUCACACCAUGGGAGCUGGUAACACCCGAAGUCAGUAGUCUAACCGCAAGGAGGACGCUGCCGAAGGUGGGAUUAGCGACUGGGGUGAAGUCGUAACAAGGUAUC